rnacentral:rRNA from 1 species
AAUCUUUCGCAAUGGGCGAAAGCCUGACGCAGCCAUGCCGCGUGAAUGAUGAAGGUCUUAGGAUUGUAAAAUUCUUUCACCGCGGACGACAAUGACGGUACCCGGAGCAGAAGCCCUGGCUAACCUCUUUCCCGCUGCCGCGGUAAUACGAAGGGGGCUAGCGUUGCCCGGAAUUACUGGGCGUAAAGGGCGCGGUGGCGGCUCGUUAAGUCAGAGGUGAAAUCCCAGGGCUCAACCCUGGAACUGCCUUUGAUACUGGCGAUCUUGAGUAUGAGAGAGGUAUGUGGAACUCCGAGUGUAGAGGUGAAAUUCGUAGAUAUUCGGAAGAACACCAGUGGCGAAGGCGACAUACUGGCGCAUUACUGACGCUGAGGCGCGAAAGCGUGGGGAGCAAACA